UGGGGAAGUAUUGGACAAUGGGCGAAAGCCUGAUCCAGCAAUGCCGCGUGUGUGAAGAAGGUCUUCGGAUUGUAAAGCACUUUCGACGGGGACGAUGAUGACGGUACCCGUAGAAGAAGCCCCGGCUAACUUCGUGCCAG
rnacentral:rRNA from 1 species